AUUGAACGCUGGCGGCAUGCCUUACACAUGCAAGUCGAACGGCAGCACGGGAGCAAUCCUGGUGGCGAGUGGCGAACGGGUGAGUAAAGUAUCGGAACGUGCCCAGUCGUGGGGGAUAACGUAGCGAAAGUUACGCUAAUACCGCAUACGAUCUAUGGAUGAAAGCGGGGGAUCGCAAGACCUCGCGCGAUUGGAGCGGCCGAUAUCAGAUUAGGUAGUUGGUGGGGUAAAGGCUCACCAAGCCGACGAUCUGUAGCUGGUCUGAGAGGACGACCAGCCACACUGGGACUGAGACACGGCCCAGACUCCUACGGGAGGCAGCAGUGGGGAAUUUUGGACAAUGGGCGAAAGCCUGAUCCAGCCAUGCCGCGUGCAGGAUGAAGGCCUUCGGGUUGCAAACUGCUUUUGUACGGAACGAAAAGGUUUGGCCUAAUAAGCUGAGCUCAUGACGGUACCGUAAGAAUAAGCACCGGCUAACUUCGUGCCAGCAGCCGCCGUAA
rnacentral:rRNA from 1 species